rnacentral:rRNA from 1 species
UACGUAGGGUGCGAGCGUUAAUCGGAAUUACUGGGCGUAAAGCGUGCGCAGGCGGUUCGUUAAGUUCGUUGUGAAAGCCCCGGGCUCAACCUGGGAACUGCAAUGGAAACUGGCGGGCUUGAGUGUGGCAGAGGGGGGUGGAAUUCCGCGUGUAGCAGUGAAAUGCGUAGAGAUGCGGAGGAACACCGAUGGCGAAGGCAGCCCCCCUGGGCCAAUACUGACGCUCAGGCACGAAAGCGUGGGGAGCAAACAGG